AGCAGUAGCCGCGGUAACACGUAGGGUGCGAGCGUUAAUCGGAAUUACUGGGCGUAAAGCGUGCGCAGGCGGUUGUGUAAGACAGGUGUGAAAUCCCCGGGCUUAACCUGGGAACUGCGCUUGCGACUGCACAGCUAGAGUAUGGCAGAGGGGGGUGGAAUUCCACGUGUAGCAGUGAAAUGCGUAGAGAUGUGGAGGAACACCGAUGGCGAAGGCAGCCCCCUGGGCCAAUACUGACGCUCAUGCACGAAAGCGUGGGGAGCAAACAGGAUUAGAUACCCGGGUAGUCCCUGUCUCUUAUAC
rnacentral:rRNA from 1 species